GGAGGGAUGUCCGAAUGGUUAAAGGCAUAGUAUUGGAACUGCUAUGUAGGCUUUUUUUCACCGAGGGUUCGAAUCCCUCUAUUUCCG
rnacentral:tRNA from 1 species